ensembl:snRNA Gm23545 predicted gene, 23545
UUACUUGCAUCAGCAACACAUAUACUAAAAUUGGAAUGAUACAGAGAAGAUGACCAUGGCACCUGUGCAAGGAUGCACAAAUCCAUGAAGCAUUCCACAGAAAC